rnacentral:rRNA from 1 species
UGCAAGUCGAGCGCGGGAAGCCGGCGGACUCCUUCGGGAGGAAACCGGUGGAACGAGCGGCGGACGGGUGAGUAACACGUGGGCAACCUGCCGGACUGAUGGGAAUAACCCCGGGAAACCGGGGCUAAUGCCCAAUACGCCCUGACCUCGCCUGAGGUCAGCGGUAAAGCAGGGAUCUUCGGAUCCUUGCACAGUCCGAUGGGCCCGCGGCGCAUUAGCUAGUUGGAGAGGUAAGGGCUCCCCAAGGCGACGAUGCGUAGCCGACCUGAGAGGGUGAUCGGCCACACUGGGACUGAGACACGGCCCAGACUCCUACGGGAGGCAGCAGUAGGGAAUCAUCCGCAAUGGGCGAAAGCCUGACGGUGCAACGCCGCGUGAGUGAUGAAGGUUUUCGGAUCGUAAAGCUCUGUUGACAGGGAAGAACCCACGUCAGUCGAACAGGCUGGCGUGCUGACGGUACCUGUCCAGAAAGCCCCGGCUAACUACGUGCCAGCAGCCGCGGUAAUACGUAGGGGGCAAGCGUUGUCCGGAAUUAUUGGGCGUAAAGGGCACGCAGGCGGUUUCGUCAGUCCGAUGUGACAGGCCACGGCUCAACCGUGGAAGGCCAUUGGAAACUGCGAAACUUGAGGACAGAAGAGGAGAGUGGAAUUCCACGUGUAGCGGUGAAAUGCGUAGAUAUGUGGAGGAACACCAGUGGCGAAGGCGACUCUCUGGUCUGUACCUGACGCUGAGGUGCGAAAGCAUGGGGAGCAAACAGGAUUAGAUACCCUGGUAGUCCAUGCCGUAAACGCUGAGUGCUAGGUGUUAGGGGUUUCGAUACCCGUAGUGCCGAAGCUAACGCAUUAAGCACUCCGCCUGGGGAGUACGACCGCAAGGUUGAAACUCAAAGGAAUUGACGGGGGCCCGCACAAGCGGUGGAGCAUGUGGUUUAAUUCGACGCAACGCGAAGAACCUUACCAGAUCUUGACAUCUUCCGCUACGC